CUUGUCUCAUUUACAUCGUCUCAUGUAUCUUUUAUCUUGUCUUGUUUACAUUGUAUUGUUUCAUGUCUCUUGUGUCUUGUCUCAAUAAAAUUGUAUCUUGACUUUUGUAUCUUGUAUCUUGUCUCAUUUACACUUUCUUUUGUAUCUUGUCUCAAUAACAUUGUCUCUUGUAUCUUGUAUCUUGUAUCUUGUCUCGUUUGCAUUGUAUUGUUUCAUGUCUCUUGUUUCUUGUCUCGUUAAAAUUGUAUCUUGACUUUUGUAUAUUGUAUCUUGUCUCAUUUACAUUUUCUUUUGUAUCUUGUCUCACUAACAUUGUCUCUUGUAUCUAGUCUUGUUUUCAUUGUUUUUUGUCUCUUGUAUAUUGUCUCUUGUUUUCAUUGUCUUUCCCUUGUCUUUUGUUUCUCGUCUCAUGUAUAUUUUCUUGUUUCUUGUCUCGUUAACAUUGUCCUGUCUCAUUUAUGUUUUCUUCUGUCUCUUGUCCUUUGUGUGAUGUACAUUGCCUCGUGUACAGUUAACAUUGUCCUGUCUUUUUAUUCAUUAUAUUUUGUUGCUUGUCCUUUGUCUCAUGUCUCAAUUACAUUGUUUGUUUUCUCUUUCUUCGUUU
rnacentral:lncRNA from 1 species